rnacentral:rRNA from 1 species
GACGAACCGUGCGAACGUUGUUCGGAAUCACUGGGCUUAAAGGGCGCGUAGGCGGCCUGACAAGUGGAUGGUGAAAUCCCUCGGCUUAACCGAGGAACUGCCAUCCAGACUGUUUGGCUUGAGACCGGGAGAGGUGAGUGGAAUUCCCAGUGUAGCGGUGAAAUGCGUAGAUAUUGGGAGGAACACCAGUGGCGAAGGCGGCUCACUGGAC